GUAGCCACCCUUUGCUGUUCCUUCAAUAGAAGUUCCAGCAAGCUGGGGCAACUUUUGCCGAGAAAGAGCCAGAAUUGAUGGUGUCUUGUUCUUGAGGAUUGCCACCCUGUAAGCACCAGCUGUUUCAUUACCAUCCGCUGGACGGAGCAUCAGAACAUUGGGCAUUGCACGGAAACUUGCCAAGUGCUCAAUGGGCUGAUGUGUAGGUCCAUCUUCUCCAAGCCCAAUUGAAUCGUGAGUCAUCACAUAGAUAACACGUGAUUCAGCCAAAGCUGAAAUUCUAAUGGCGGCUCUCAUGUAGUCAGUAAACACAAAGAAAGUAGCACAGUAGGGAAUUAAGCCAGGGCUGUGGAGAGCAAUUCCAUUACAGAUAGCUCCCAUACCAUGUUCACGAACA
rnacentral:misc_RNA from 1 species